rnacentral:rRNA from 1 species
GGGUUGUGAGGUUAAGCGACUAAGCGUACACGGUGGAUGCCCUGGCAGUCAGAGGCGAUGAAGGACGUGCUAAUCUGCGAAAAGCGCCGGCGAGGUGAUAUGAACCUUUGACCCGGCGAUGUCCGAAUGGGGAAACCCAGUGUGAUUCGUCACACUAUCGUUAACUGAAUACAUAGGUUAACGAGGCGAACCGGGGGAACUGAAACAUCUAAGUACCCCGAGGAAAAGAAAUCAACCGAGAUUCCCCCAGUAGCGGCGAGCGAACGGGGAGCAGCCCAGAGUCUGAAUCAGCUUGUGUGUUAGUGGAACGGUCUGGAAAGUCCGGCGAUACAGGGUGACAGCCCCGUACACGAAAGCACACAGGUUGUGAACUCGAAGAGUAGGGCGGGACACGUGGUAUCCUGUCUGAAUAUGGGGGGACCAUCCUCCAAGGCUAAAUACUCCUGACUGACCGAUAGUGAACCAGUACCGUGAGGGAAAGGCGAAAAGAACCCCGGCGAGGGGAGUGAAAAAGAACCUGAAACCGUGUACGUACAAGCAGUGGGAGCACCUUCGUGGUGUGACUGCGUACCUUUUGUAUAAUGGGUCAGCGACUUAUAUUCUGUAGCAAGGUUAACCGUAUAGGGGAGCCGAAGGGAAACCGAGUCUUAACUGGGCGUUAAGUUGCAGGGUAUAGACCCGAAACCCGGUGAUCUAGCCAUGGGCAGGUUGAAGGUUGGGUAACACUAACUGGAGGACCGAACCGACUAAUGUUGAAAAAUUAGCGGAUGACUUGUGGCUGGGGGUGAAAGGCCAAUCAAACCGGGAGAUAGCUGGUUCUCCCCGAAAGCUAUUUAGGUAGCGCCUCGUGAACUCAUCUUCGGGGGUAGAGCACUGUUUCGGCUAGGGGGCCAUCCCGGCUUACCAACCCGAUGCAAACUACGAAUACCGAAGAAUGUUAUCACGGGAGACACACGGCGGGUGCUAACGUCCGUCGUGAAGAGGGAAACAACCCAGACCGCCAGCUAAGGUCCCAAAGUCAUGGUUAAGUGGGAAACGAUGUGGGAAGGCACAGACAGCCAGGAUGUUGGCUUAGAAGCAGCCAUCAUUUAAAGAAAGCGUAAUAGCUCACUGGUCGAGUCGGCCUGCGCGGAAGAUGUAACGGGGCUAAACCAUGCACCGAAGCUGCGGCAGCGACGCUUAGGCGUUGUUGGGUAGGGGAGCGUUCUGUAAGCCGUUGAAGGUGUGCUGUGAGGCAUGCUGGAGGUAUCAGAAGUGCGAAUGCUGACAUAAGUAACGAUAAAGCGGGUGAAAAGCCCGCUCGCCGGAAGACCAAGGGUUCCUGUCCAACGUUAAUCGGGGCAGGGUGAGUCGACCCCUAAGGCGAGGCCGAAAGGCGUAGUCGAUGGGAAACAGGUUAAUAUUCCUGUACUUGGUGUUACUGCGAAGGGGGGACGGAGAAGGCUAUGUUAGCCGGGCGACGGUUGUCCCGGUUUAAGCAUGUAGGCGGAACGAUUAGGUAAAUCCGGUCGUUUAUUAACGCUGAGGUGUGAUGACGAGGCACUACGGUGCUGAAGUAACAAAUGCCCUGCUUCCAGGAAAAGCCUCUAAGCAUCAGGUAACAUCAAAUCGUACCCCAAACCGACACAGGUGGUCAGGUAGAGAAUACCAAGGCGCUUGAGAGAACUCGGGUGAAGGAACUAGGCAAAAUGGUGCCGUAACUUCGGGAGAAGGCACGCUGAUAUGUAGGUGAAGCCCCUGCGGGUGGAGCUGAAAUCAGUCGAAGAUACCAGCUGGCUGCAACUGUUUAUUAAAAACACAGCACUGUGCAAACACGAAAGUGGACGUAUACGGUGUGACGCCUGCCCGGUGCCGGAAGGUUAAUUGAUGGGGUUAGCGGUAACGCGAAGCUCUUGAUCGAAGCCCCGGUAAACGGCGGCCGUAACUAUAACGGUCCUAAGGUAGCGAAAUUCCUUGUCGGGUAAGUUCCGACCUGCACGAAUGGCGUAAUGAUGGCCAGGCUGUCUCCACCCGAGACUCAGUGAAAUUGAACUCGCUGUGAAGAUGCAGUGUACCCGCGGCAAGACGGAAAGACCCCGUGAACCUUUACUAUAGCUUGACACUGAACACUGGUCCUUGAUGUGUAGGAUAGGUGGGAGGCUUUGAAGCGUGGACGCCAGUCUGCGUGGAGCCGACCUUGAAAUACCACCCUUUAAUGGCUGGUGUUCUAACGUAGACCCGUAAUCCGGGUUGCGGACAGUGUCUGGUGGGUAGUUUGACUGGGGCGGUCUCCUCCCAAAGAGUAACGGAGGAGCACGAAGGUUAGCUAAUCCUGGUCGGACAUCAGGAGGUUAGUGCAAUGGCAUAAGCUAGCUUGACUGCGAGAGUGACGGCUCGAGCAGGUGCGAAAGCAGGUCAUAGUGAUCCGGUGGUUCUGAAUGGAAGGGCCAUCGCUCAACGGAUAAAAGGUACUCCGGGGAUAACAGGCUGAUACCGCCCAAGAGUUCAUAUCGACGGCGGUGUUUGGCACCUCGAUGUCGGCUCAUCACAUCCUGGGGCUGAAGUAGGUCCCAAGGGUAUGGCUGUUCGCCAUUUAAAGUGGUACGCGAGCUGGGUUUAGAACGUCGUGAGACAGUUCGGUCCCUAUCUGCCGUGGGCGCUGGAGAAUUGAGGGGGGCUGCUCCUAGUACGAGAGGACCGGAGUGGACGCAUCACUGGUGUUCGGGUUGUCAUGCCAAUGGCACUGCCCGGUAGCUAAAUGCGGAAAAGAUAAGUGCUGAAAGCAUCUAAGCACGAAACUUGCCCCGAGAUGAGUUCUCCCUGACCCUUUAAGGGUCCUGAAGGAACGUUGAAGACUACGACGUUGAUAGGUCGGGUGUGUAAGCGCAGCGAUGCGUUGAGCUAACCGAUACUAAUGAACCGUGAGGCUUAACCUUGCAACGCCGAAGCUGUU